GGGGCAUUAGCUCAGUUGGGAGAGCGCAUCGCUGGCAGCGAUGAGGUCGUCGGUUCGAGCCCGACAUGCUCCAUCA
rnacentral:tRNA from 1 species